UUGAUGAAAAUAUCUGCAUCAUCCUUAAACUCCCUCUCCUGGACCAAGGUCUUGGAGACCUUUUGUCUGAAAGAAAAGCACUGGUGGUGCCAGAACCUGAACCAGACUCUGAGAAUAAUCAGGAGCACAAAGAUGAGAGAGAAACAAGCAGAAGGACUGGAGCCAGUAUUCUCCUUCCUGGCCACUCUAGCCAGCAGUACCAUUGAGGAGAUGCAAUCUCCGCUGCAGGAGCGUGUGGAGUCCUCCUGCUGUGCUGUUGCCCAGACUCUGACAGUGUGACAAGCUGCAGGAGAAGGUGGAUGUGCUGUCUGACAAGCUGAAUAGUGGAGAUAUUUCACUGAUGGAAGAAAUAGUAGUGGAGCUGCAUUCCUACCUGUCACAUGAGAAUGGAUGGCUGCAGGAACUGGCUGAUGUUCUUCAGGAGAAGUACAGAGUCAUGUCUCAGGAGAGGUACCUUGCUUCAGGUGGGGAAAGCAGAAUUCCAGGUGUCUGUCCUGGAGACCAUGACUGAUGACCUUCAGUGGGACCUUGACAAAUCCACAAGAGGGAGCAGAGGCUCAACCGCCACCUGGCUGGGGUGUCCUGGAACGAGUAAAUUCCAAAGGCUACAAGGUGUAUGGAGCUGGGAGCAGCCUCUAUGGGGGAACAAUCACCAUUAAUGCAAGGUUCGUAUCUUUGAGAGAAACUGUUUCAGGACCCAAGAGUCAAAAACUUACGUGAUGUGGUUGUGCAAGACAAGCAGCCUAGUGCAUGCAGAGACCACAGAGACUUUUAAAAAUUGGUACUGGGGCAUAUCACUUGGACACAUUGCUUCAUAGCAAUGCUCUUGAAGUUCUACUUUUGUCUUUGCCUGGGGCAGCUGGAUUCAUUGUUCUCCUGUCUUGAGGGACAGAAAUCAAAGGCAGAGAGAUAAUAUUCCUUUUUGUGGCGUUUCUCUGUGUCCUAAUGUCCUGGGUUAUGGAACCAAAAAAUGUGGAUCCUGUUUCAUCUGUUGAAAGCAGCUGGGGAGAUGUUUAUCUCUUGUAAUGCCAGGGGGGAGAGGGGGUGGAUGCCUUCAGAUAAUGGCCCAGCUGUUCAGGCCAGGUGGGGCAGUGUUUUUUAUCUUUUUCCAUCUUCUGGGGGGAUAUCUUCUGUUAAUGGGUCAUUAAGACUCACCAAUGACAUGACACAUGACAUCAUCCCAUUGUGAGAUGCUCCACCCAGUGUGGGGGACCCAGCCAUCCCUACCUAGAUGAAAACUGAGACAUAGGAACACCAGGUAUGUGGUUCCAGUGGAUUCCCGGAGGAACACCAGGCCCUUCUCGCCAUCACUGGACCCUUUUUCUACAGAACCAUCUCCACCCCAACAGAACCACAUCUGCCACUCCAGGAGGGCUUACUUUGGACUGCUUCCAACACCCUGACCAACAGGGUGUCAGGUUGUAUUUCUGACUCUGUCAGGGUUUCUAGGAUUUUUGUUUGCAUGGGUUUUUUUGUACUACUACAUUUGUACUACAUUUGUUAAUAUUCCUAGUAAAGAUCUGUUAUUCCUAUUCCCAAAUCGUUGCCUGAAGGCCCUUAAUUGUGAAAUUAUAAUCAUUUGGAGGGGGUGGGGGGUUUACAUUCUCCAUUCCAAGGGAAACUUCAGCUUGGCAGAUACGUGGCAGAUACCUGUCCUCCCAAACCAAG
rnacentral:lncRNA from 1 species